rnacentral:rRNA from 1 species
AAUGCCUAGGAAUCUGCCUGGUAGUGGGGGACGACGUUUCGAAAGGAACGCUAAUACCGCAUACGUCCUACGGGAGAAAGCAGGGGACCUUCGGGCCUUGCGCUAUCAGAUGAGCCUAGGUCGGAUUAGCUAGUUGGUGAGGUAAUGGCUCACCAAGGCGACGAUCCGUAACUGGUCUGAGAGGAUGAUCAGUCACACUGGAACUGAGACACGGUCCAGACUCCUACGGGAGGCAGCAGUGGGGAAUAUUGGACAAUGGGCGAAAGCCUGAUCCAGCCAUGCCGCGUGUGUGAAGAAGGUCUUCGGAUUGUAAAGCACUUUAAGUUGGGAGGAAGGGCAGUAAGCGAAUACCUUGCUGUUUUGACGUUACCAACAGAAUAAGCACCGGCUAACUCUGUGCCAGCAGCCGCGGUAAUACAGAGGGUGCAAGCGUUAAUCGGAAUUACUGGGCGUAAAGCGCGCGUAGGUGGUUCGUUAAGUUGGAUGUGAAAUCCCCGGGCUCAACCUGGGAACUGCAUCCAAAACUGGCGAGCUAGAGUAGGGCAGAGGGUGGUGGAAUUUCCUGUGUAGCGGUGAAAUGCGUAGAUAUAGGAAGG